AAGAUUAAGCCAUGCAUGUCUCAGCACAAGCCGUACAAUGGUGAAGCCGCGAAUAGCUCAUUAUAACAGUCGUAGUUUAUUAGAAAGUCUAUCUGGAUAACUGUGGUAAUUCCAGAGCUAAUACUUGCGAAAAUCUCCGACUUCGGAAGGAGUGCAUUUAUUAGAACAAGGCCGAUCAGACUUUGUCUGUCUCAGGUUGACUCUGAAUAACUUUGCUAAUCGCACAGUCUUUGCACUGGCGAUGUAUCUUUCAAAUGUCUGCCUUAUCAACUGUUGAUGGUAGAUUAUGCGCCUACCAUGGUUAUAACGGGUAACGGAGAAUCAGGGUUUGAUUCCGGAGAGGGAGCCUGAGAAACAGCUACCACAUCCAAGGAAG
rnacentral:rRNA from 1 species